rnacentral:rRNA from 1 species
GGGCCCGCACAAGCGGUGGAGCAUGUGGUUUAAUUCGACGCAACGCGAAGAACCUUACCAAGGCUUGACAUCCCUCUGACCGGGUAGUAAUGUACCCUUUCCUUCGGGACAGAGGAGACAGGUGGUGCAUGGUUGUCGUCAGCUCGUGUCGUGAGAUGUUGGGUUAAGUCCCGCAACGAGCGCAACCCUUACUUCUAGUUGCCAGCAUUAAGUUGGGCACUCUAGAGGGACUGCCGGUGACAAACCGGAGGAAGGUGGGGAUGACGUCAAAUCAUCAUGCCCCUUAUGUCUUGGGCUACACACGUGCUACAAUGGGCAGUACAGAGGGCAGCGAGACCGCGAGGUUGAGCCAAUCCCUUAAAGCUGUUCUCAGUUCGGAUUGCAGGCUGCAACUCGCCUGCAUGAAGUCGGAAUCGCUAGUAAUCGCAGGUCAGCAUACUGCGGUGAAUACGUUCCCGGGCCUU